rnacentral:rRNA from 1 species
AGUGAACGCUGGCGGUAGGCCUAACACAUGCAAGUCGAACGGCAGCACAGUAAUAGCUUGCUCUUACGGGUGGCGAGUGGCGGAUGGGGCCGGAAUACAUCGGAAUCUGCUUUUUCGUGGGGGAUAACGUAGGGAAACUUACGCCAAUACCGCAGACGACCUACGGGUGAAAGCAUGGGAUCUUCCGACCUUGCGCGAUUGAAUGAGCCGAUGUCGGAUUGGCUAGUUGGCGGGGUAAAGGCCCACCAAGGCGACGAUCCGUAGCUGGUCUGAGAGGAUGAUCAGCCACACUGGAACUGAGACACGGUCCAGACUCCUACGGGAGGCAGCAGUGGGGAAUAUUGGACAAUGGGCGCAAGCCUGAUCCAGCCAUACCGCGUGUGUGAAGAAGGCCUUCGGGUUGUAAAGCCCUUUUGUUGGGAAAGAAAAGCAGCAGGUUAAUACCCCGCUGUUCUGACGGUACCCAAAGAAUAAGCACCGGCUAACUUCGUG